GUGGGGAAUAUUGCACAAUGGGGGAAACCCUGAUGCAGCGACGCCGCGUGAGUGAAGAAGUAUUUCGGUAUGUAAAGCUCUAUCAGCAGGGAAGAAAAUGACGGUACCUGACUAAGAAGCUCCGGCUAAAUACGUGCCAGCAGCCGCGGUAAUACGUAUGGAGCAAGCGUUAUCCGGAUUUACUGGGUGUAAAGGGUGCGUAGGCGGCAUGGCAAGUCAGAUGUGAAAGCCCGGGGCUCAACCCCGGUAGUGCAUUUGAAACUGCUGAGCUGGAGUACGGGAGAGGUAAGCGGAAUUCCUAGUGUAGCGGUGAAAUGCGUAGAUAUUAGGAGGAACACCAGUGGCGAAGGCGGCUUACUGGACCGUAACUGACGCUGAGGCACGAAAGCGUGGGGAGCAA
rnacentral:rRNA from 1 species